GAUUGUUUGUUUGUUUGUUUUUUUAAUCAACUACAUUAUCCAUGAUAGUUUAUUUUAAUGGGAAAUGUUUUCCUUUCUUCUUCUUGUCUUCAAUGGGCCUUUCUUUACCUACACAGACAUAGUCCUCUGAAGCCAGUUCUUGGUGUCUGCUUUCAUUUACAGCAGAGAAUCAUGAUUACUCUUUAGAACAAUACUUCUUAAAUUUAUCUAGUAGGUGAACUUAUGAAACAUAGCAUGAAAAAGAGUUAAGAGGAAUAUUCUUGAUGUUUACGUAAAUUACAGUUUUUAGUCUCUGCUUCUCCCUUUGGCAUCCAUGUAGAUAAACGGUUUAGAAAUUCAAGGACAAGUGAGAACUUUUGCCCUCACAAUUUCGGUCACAAACUAUUAUUAUAUAGCCUAUUAAGAGUAUAACUAUUUAAUAGUUGACAUUUUAAAGACAUUUCUUUCUCUGGUGCUGUGGUUCCACUGUAGACGUUGAUUUGUGUCUCCUGGCUUUAACUAGCGAGGAAGUUGUACAAUUCAGCGAGGAACUGUCAC
rnacentral:lncRNA from 10 species